rnacentral:miRNA from 1 species
GCAGGCAUCUUCCCAGCCUAC